rnacentral:rRNA from 1 species
CCUACGGGUGGCAGCAGUGGGGAAUAUUGCACAAUGGGGGAAACCCUGAUGCAGCGACGCCGCGGGAGUGAAGAAGUAUUUCGGUAUGUAAAGCUCUAUCAGCAGGGAAGAAGCAAGACGGGACCGGACGAAGAAGCCCCGGCUAACUACGUGCCAGCAGCCGCGGUAAUACGUAGGGGGCAAGCGUUAUCCGGAUUUACUGGGGGUAAAGGGAGCGUAGACGGUCUGGAAAGUCUGAAGUGAAAGCCCAGGGCUGAACCCGGGGACUGCUUUGGAAACUGUUAGACUAGAGUGCUGGAGCGGUAAGUGGACUUCCUAGUGUAGCGGUGACAUGCGUAGAUAUUAGGCGG